CCCUAGUAUUAUAAGUUUGUGAAAGUAGUAUAUAAUGAAAUUUAAAAAUUUUGGCGGUUAAUUAUUAAUUAGAGGAGCUUGUUGUAGAUUAGAAGUUACUCUUUGAAUCUUACUAAUUAAAAGUUUAUUCAUCUCCGUUAUUAGAUAAGUUAUGACUUAUUUAAAAUACUAGAUAAGUCUAAUUUCAGGUCAAGAUGUAGCAAAGUUUUUAUAUGAUUAGCUACAAUUUUUAUGAAAUGGAUAUUUUUAAUGGAGAAUUUAAUUGAAAUUGAAUUUAAUUGUAAUAUUAAUUAUGAAGUUAGUAUGAAUUGUAAUAAUUAAUGU
rnacentral:rRNA from 1 species